rnacentral:rRNA from 1 species
UACGGAAGGCAGCAGUGGGGAAUAUUGCACAAUGGGCGCAAGCCUGAUGCAGCCAUGCCGCGUGUAUGAAGGAGGCCUUCGGGUUGUAAAGUACUUUCAGUCGUGAGGAAGGUGUUAAGGUUAAUAACCUUAGCAAUUGACGUUAGCGACAGAAGAAGCACCGGCUAACUCCGUGCCAGCAGCCGCGGUAAUACGGAGGGUGCGAGCGUUAAUCGGAAUUACUGGGCGUAAAGGGCACGCAGGCGGUUAAUUAAGUUGGAUGUGAAAUCCCCGGGCUUAACCUGGGAAUGGCAUUCAAGACUGGUUAGCUAGAGUCUUGUAGAGGGGGUAGAAUUCCAUGUGUAGCGGUGAAAUGCGUAGAGAUGUGGAGGAAUACCGGUGGCGAAGGCGGCCCCUGGGACAAAGACUGACGCUCAUGUGCGAAAGCGUGGGGAGCAAACAGGAUUAGAUACC